ensembl:snRNA U4 U4 spliceosomal RNA
AGCUUUGUGCAGUGGCAGUAUUGUAGCCAAUGAGGUUUACCUGAGGUGCGAUUACUGCUAAUUAAAAACUUUUCCCAGUACCCUGCUAUGACAACUUGCAAUGUAGUCAGCAUUGGCCAUGUUUGACUGUCUCCAUGAAGA